rnacentral:rRNA from 1 species
UACGUAGGGUGCAAGCGUUAAUCGGAAUUACUGGGCGUAAAGCGUGCGCAGGCGGUUUGGCAAGACAGAUGUGAAAUCCCCGGGCUCAACCUGGGAACUGCAUUUGUGACUGCACGGCUAGAGUGUGUCAGAGGGGGGUAGAAUUCCACGUGUAGCAGUGAAAUGCGUAGAUAUGUGGAGGAAUACCGAUGGCGAAGGCAGCCCCCUGGGAUGACACUGACGCUCAUGCACGAAAGCGUGGGGAGCAAACAGG